GGUCAUGAGUGCCAGCGCAAAGCCCCGGCUUGCUGGACGGCAACCCUCCUUCGCGGUGGGGUGCCCCGGGUGAGGACCAGGCCGCACCGUCCGGUGGGGCAAGCGCGAGAC
rnacentral:ncRNA from 2 species